NNNAGACUGUACACGGGGGGGGAGGGGCUGCGCUUUGGGGUGGGGGUCCCCAAAAUCUUGGCACCGGACCCCCAAAAUCCCCCCCCAAUGGGGACAGGGGGGUCCCAGCGCCGCUGGACCCCGAAUCUUGGGGGGGGGGGGUCCCGGGGCUGCCGAAUCCUUGGGGGGCUCCUGGGGGGACCCCCGGGCAGCUUUUGGGGGUCCCGAUGCGGUUUUGGGGGUCCCGGGGGGGUCCCGGGUCUCGUUUUGGGGGUCCCGGGGGUCCCAAACCAAUUCUGGGGGUCCCAAUCCAGUUCCGGGGGUCCCGGAGGGGUCCCAAUGCGGUUUUGGGGGCCCCGGGUCUCAUUUUGGGGGUCCCAGUCCAGUUCUGGGGGUCCCAGUUCGGUUCUGGGGGUCCCAGUUCGGUUCUGGGGGUCCCAGUCUGGUUCUGGGGGUCCCAGUUCGGUUCUGGGGGGUCCCAGUCUGGUUCUGGGGGUCCCAGUUCGGUUCUGGGGGUCCCAGUCUGGUUCUGGGGGUCCCAGUCUGGUUCUGGGGGUCCCAGUUCGGUUCUGGGGGGUCCCAGUUCGGUUCUGGGGGUCCCAGUCUGGUUCUGGGGGGUCCCAGGGGGGUCCCGGUCGCAUCCAGGUGGUCCCGGUCUCGUUCUGGGGGUUCUGGGGGGUCCCGAUCCUAUUCCGGGGGUCCCAAUCCAGUUCCGGGGUUUCCCGGGGGGGGUCCUGGUCUCAUUUUGGGGGUCCCAAUCCAAUUCUGGGGGUCCUGAUCCAGUCCUGGGGUUCCCAAUCCAGUUCUGGGGAUUCCCGGGGAGGUCCCAGUCUCGUUUUGGGGUCCCGAUCCCAUUCCAGGAUUCUCGAUCCGGUUCCGGGGUUUCCCGGGGGGGUCCCAAUCCAGUCCCGGGGGUCCCGAUCCGGUUCUGGGGGUCCCAGGGGGGGUUCAAGUCCCAUUUUGGGGGUCCCGGUCUCGUUUUGGGGGUCCCGAUCCAGUCCCGGGGGUCCCGAUCCAUUCCGGGGGUCCCGAUCCAGUUCCAGGGUUUCCCGGGGGAGUCCCAGUCCCCUUUUGGGGGUCCCAAUCCCAUUCCGGGGGUCCCAAUCCGGUUCCAUAAUUCCCAAUCCGGUUCUGGGGUUUCCCGGGGGGGUCCCGAUCCAAUUCCGAGGGUCCCGAUCCCGUUCCGGGGGUCCCGAUCCCGUUCCGGGGUUUCCCGGGGGGGUCCCGAUCCCGUUCUGGGGGUCCCAAUCCCAUUCCGUGGGUCCCGAUCCGGUUUUGGGGUUUCCCGGGGGGGUCCCGAUCCAAUUCCGGGGGUCCCGAUCCGGUUCCAGGGUUUCCCGGGGGGGGUCCUGAUCCCAUUCCGGGGGUCCCGAUCCAAUUCCGCGGGUCCCGAUCCGGUUCCGGGGGUCCCAAUCCGGUUCCAGGGUUUCCCGGGGGGGUCCCGAUCCAAUUCCGUGGGUCCCGAUCCCGUUCCGGGGCUCCCGAUCCGGUUCCAGGGUUUCCCGGGGGGGGUCCCGAUCCAAUUCCGGGGGUCCCGAUCCAGUUCCGGGGGUCCCGAUCCGGUUCCGGGAUUCCCGAUCCGGUUCCGGGCUUUCCCGGGGCCGUUGCCCCGCCCCCCCCCAGGCUGGGGGAGGGGCGGCUGCCGGGGGUGGGGGAGGGGCGGUCACAGCCCCCCCCCCUCGGCGCAGCCGGGGGGCGGCUUCCGCUUGAUCCCCAGGUAGAUGGCGACUGCGGGGGGACAGGUGAGGCCGGGGGUCCCGGGGGGUCCCGGGGGUCCCGGGGGGUCCCGGGGGGUCCC
ensembl:lncRNA